rnacentral:rRNA from 1 species
CGGUUGGGGUGACCUCGGAGAAUAAAAAAUCCUCCGAAUGAUUUUAACCUAGACCCACAAGUCAAAGUAAUAUUAAUAUCUUAUUGGACCCAAUUAUNNGAUCAACGGACCAAGUUACCCUAGGGAUAACAGC